AUACGGAGGAUCCGAGCGUUAUCCGGAUUUAUUGGGUUUAAAGGGUGCGCAGGCGGGAGAUUAAGUCGGCGGUGAAAUUUUGCAGCUCAACUGUAAAAGUGCCUUCGAAACUGGUUUCCUUGAGUGUAGAUGAAGUAGGCGGAAUUUGUGGGGUAGCGGUGAAAUGCAUAGAUAUCACGAGGAACUCCGAUUGCGCAGGCAGCUUACUAAACUACUACUGACGCUCAGGCACGAAGGCGUGGGGAUCAAACAGGAUUAGAUACCCUGGUAGUCCACGCAGUAAACGAUGAUUACUAGCUGUUUGCGAUACAAUGUAAGCGGCUGAGCGAAAGCGUUAAGUAAUCCACCUGGGGAGUACGUUCGCAAGAAUGAAACUCAAAGGAAUUGACGGGG
rnacentral:rRNA from 1 species